rnacentral:rRNA from 1 species
GGGCGUAAGGGCUCGCAGGCGGUUUCUUAAGUCUGAUGUGAAAGCCCCCGGCUCAACCGGGGAGGGUCAUUGGAAACUGGGAAACUUGAGUGCAGAAGAGGAGAGUGGAAUUCCACGUGUAGCGGUGAAAUGCGUAGAGAUGUGGAGGAACACCAGUGGCGAAGGCGACUCUCUGGUCUGUAACUGACGCUGAGGAGCGAAAGCGUGGGGAGCGAACAGGAUUAGAUACCCUGGUAGUCCACGCCGUAAACGAUGAGUGCUAAGUGUUAGGGGGUUUCCGCCCCUUAGUGCUGCAGCUAACGCAUUAAGCACUCCGCCUGGGGAGUACGGUCGCAAGACUGAAACUCAAAGGAAUUGACGGGGGCCCGCACAAGCGGUGGAGCAUGUGGUUUAAUUCGAAGCAACGCGAAGAACCUUACCAGGUCUUGACAUCCUCUGACAACCCUAGAGAUAGGGCUUUCCCUUCGGGGACAGAGUGACAGGUGGUGCAUGGUUGUCGUCAGCUCGUGUCGUGAGAUGUUGGGUUAAGUCCCGCAACGAGCGCAACCCUUGAUCUUAGUUGCCAGCAUUCAGUUGGGCACUCUAAGGUGACUGCCGGUGACAAACCGGAG